rnacentral:rRNA from 1 species
GGGCUUGCCCUUGCAAGAUAGUGGCGGACGGGUGAGUAACACGUGGAUAACCUGCCUUAUACAAAGGAAUAACACUGAGAAAUCAGUGCUAAAGCCUUAUAAGCUCCCGGCGCGGCAUCGCGCAGAGAGAAAAUAUUUAUAGGUAUAAGAGGGGUCCGCGUCUGAUUAGCUAGUUGGAGGGGUAACGGCCCACCAAGGCGACGAUCAGUAGCCGGCCUGAGAGGGUGAACGGCCACAUUGGGACUGAGACACGGCCCAAACUCCUACGGGAGGCAGCAGUGGGGAAUAUUGCGCAAUGGGGGAAACCCUGACGCAGCAACGCCGCGUGAAGGAUGAAGGUUUUCGGAUUGUAAACUUCUAUCGAUGGGGAAGAAAAAAAUGACUGUACCCAAGUAAGAAGCACCGGCUAAAUACGUGCCAGCAGCCGCGGUAAUACGUAUGGUGCAAGCGUUAUCCGGAAUUACUGGGCGUAAAGGGUGAGUAGGCGGUCGAAUAAGUCAUAUGUGAAAAUCCAGGGCUCAACCCUGGACUUGCAUAAGAAACUGUUUGGCUAGAGUGCAG